UGAUGACGUCGCGUCGUGACGUCAUAUUUCAAAAUGGCAGAGCCCGCGGAAAGACCCCCUGGAGUCGACUCCAUUUCCCAAGAAAAGAUGUCAACAGCGCGACUUGUAACAAUUAUAAGGCCGAGGAGGGUUAUUUGAACACACACCAUUCAAUUAUUAUAAAUGAAAGUCACGUUUUGUAACCGCUCUGGUCUCGUCCCAGCGGAAGUGACGCUAGCACGUCAUCAGAAUACAACAGAUCAACACGACGAGAGAGACAUUCUGCCGCUAGACGAAGGUCACCGAGCAGCGACGAAGUUUGCAUUUUCGGUAGAGGUCCAGGGAGCCACGAGGGCGGUGCUAAAGAGACGCGGGUUGCUGACCCCCGGCCUACACCCUAGACUGGCCGC